GGACUGAUGAGAGGCUCGGUGGAUAAAGUGUGCUGCAUAAGCCUGACAUCUGAGUUUAAUUCCUGGAACCAGCAAAUGGGAAGAAGAGAGCCAACUCCACAAAUUUGUCCUCUGACCUACUCACCCUCAACCCCAACCCCCAUAAAAUUUAAGGGGAGGACUGGGGAAGAUAGUUCAGCCUGUAAAAUUGCUGCAGAAACAAGGCCCUGUAUUUGACCCCACCAGAAACAGUUUGGUUUGGUUUAUUUGAGACAGGGUUUAUCUCCAUAGCCCUGGCUGUCUUGGAACUCUCCAUGUAGUGCUGGGGUUAAAGGCAUGUGUCACUACCGCCAGGCUCAGAACCUAUUUUCUAAGGUGUCUGUUACCCCAGUACUAGGGGAUGGAGAGGCGGGAUCCUAGUGUAGCCAAAGAAUGAAAUAGAAAAAAAAAGACGAGAGUACACCCGAUGUCAAUUCCCAGUGGCCACAUCUUUUGUCUUACAGCCCAGUUAUAUUUGGGGGGGACUGAAGCUGCUCAGAGGGGUCCAUUCCUUGCUGGCUCCCUGUCCUAUCUCAUAAUGUUUUUUCCUGCUUUGAGGGCCCAUCCUUUUCUUGUCUUUUCCCUGAAAAACUAAUGUUGCUUUGCAUACCAUUUCAUCCCUGAUCAGCUUGUUCCUUCGGAGAAGCGGGGAUGUCUAAAGUCGUACAGGCUGAAGGGCAGCUUCCCUGAGGCUCUGGUUUCCAAGCAUGGGUACAGCUUUGCAGCCUUGAGUGGACUCUGCUUGGUCCAUAGCAGGCCUCUCUUGGGAGUGCCAUUGCUCUGCUGCUACAGGGUCAAAAGCUGUGUUUGCCUGUAGACUUUUCUGCUCUUACCUAGCUGUCAGGACAGAUGAUUUUAUGACCGAGCCUGCAAUUGGACAAAAUUUAAGCUAGUGAGAUCAGUCAGAUUUAGGAUUCUGCUAAAAGCAAAUCUGUUGACUGGUUUAUGAUAGACAGAUGCAGUCUUAAAUGGGCUGCUUAGCCUGGGUCUGCUGAACUCAAGUGAAGUGCCUGCGUCCUUUGUCUUCUGUACAAAAGAGCAGAGACUCAGAUUCUAGCUCACUGAAGGUGGUCAGGCCCCUGUGCCAGGCAGCCUUGCGGUAAGCAGGGCCUGCGGCAGCCGUUCCCUGAAGCUGCUGCCACUUGAGAGCUGUGGGGAGUUCAGAUCCUUGGCAGUUGGAGUUGUUCUUCAGUCUGCAUAAUGAUUAUCUGAUCUCGAGUAACCGGAACCCACACAGAUGUCUCCACUGCUGUCACCCUCGCCUCCUGAGGAGAGUGGGCUGUGGCCAGACCUUACCGAGGCCGUGAACAGAGAGGGCUCAGGAGCUGCCAUGACUGGUGCUAGGCUGGGAGUUGUUCUCUUUGGAUGCCUGGGAGGCCUUUUUCUUAAUAGGCACUGACUUAAUGCUGGUGUCCUAUUUGGAUAUGAAUGCCAGAGGAGAACCUCAGGGUGUGUCAUUAAUUCUUCAAGGGUGAUUUGGCUUUGGGUUUUUUUUUUUUCCCCUUUUAGCUAGGCUUUCUCACUGACUCACUAGGUAGAUUAGGCUGCCUGGUUGGCUUUCCAGAUGUGUCUGUUUCCCUCUCCAGCACUGGGAUUCUAGAUGUGUGCCAUCAAGCCUGGCUCCCCAUGCCCCACUCCCUCUUCUGUGAGUUCUGGAACUUAAACAUAAGUUCUAAUGCUUGCAAGGCAGUCUUUUAUCAGCUGGGCCAUCUAUCUAGCUUCUAGGACAUUUCUUAAAAUUGAUUUAUGUGUCUGGUGGUUGUGCCUGCAUGUAUGUUAGUGCAGUCUCAUCGGAGGCCAGAGGGGUAUUAAUAGAUCCCUAGAACUAGAGUUAGAGUUGUGACUGACUGACACGUUGCUGUCGGACUGAACCUGGGUUCUCUGCAGGAGCAGUCAGUGCUCUUAACCAGUGAGCUCAGCAGCAUUUUAAAGUGAAAUGCAGACAACACGCAGAAAUUAGGGACCAUGGAGUUGCACUUGGUCCUGAAACAUCAUUGCUGGAGACAUGUCCUGAACAUUUCUGAGGACAUACUUGGUGAUAUGACUGUGACCUUUCCCACUGCAAACUUGAGUCCAUUCUAAAAGUAGAGAGGCCUGGAAGCAGAAGGGACCGUCUUGGUACAGGGCACGAGUGUGUCCUAGGGACUCUGAAACGGCCAGAUACGGGCAGGGUCAGGGCAACCUUGGAGCUGCUGUAAAGGAGCCUAACAUAGCUUGAAGUAUACAACUGACAUUCCAGAUCUCAGUUGAGACCAUACUGGCCAGCCAGAAAACUGAUUUCAGUUACAUUUGGCCAACUCCUAUCUAACAGGUGUUUAUUAUG
rnacentral:lncRNA from 1 species